rnacentral:rRNA from 1 species
UAGGGAAUCUUCGGCAAUGGGGGCAACCCUGACCGAGCAACGCCGCGUGAGUGAAGAAGGUUUUCGGAUCGUAAAGCUCUGUUGUAAGAGAAGAACGAGUGUGAGAGUGGAAAGUUCACGCUGUGACGGUAUCUUACCAGAAAGGGACGGCUAACUACGUGCCAGCAGCCGCGGUAAUACGUGGGUCCCGAGCGUUAUCCGGAUUUAUUGGGCGUAAAGCGAGCGCAGGCGGUUAGAUAAGUCUGAAGUUAAAGGCUGUGGCUUAACCAUAGUACGCUUUGGAAACUGUUUAACUUGAGUGCAGAAGGGGAGAGUGGAAUUCCAUGUGUAGCGGUGAAAUGCGUAGAUAUAUGGAGGAACACCGGUGGCGAAAGCGGCUCUCUGGUCUGUAACUGACGCUGAGGCUCGAAAGCGUGGGGAGCAAACAGGAUUAGAUACCCUGGUAGUCCACGCCGUAAACGAUGAGUGCUAGGUGUUGGGUCCUUUCCGGGACUCAGUGCCGCAGCUAACGCAUUAAGCACUCCGCCUGGGGAGUACGAUCGCAAGGUUG